GUGAACACCAGCCCAUCAGUGAGAGAGUUUCUCCAUCUCUGGCCUGCGCUGCACAUAACAUCACAGGUGUUUGCAGAUUUCCAGCGUAUCACUAAUGAGAACUUGCCCCACAAAUUCUGCGCACAACUGGACCGCCACUUGCCUUGUUUAAUGACCAUUUUUCAGCAAAAAAGCAUCAAAGAUAGGCAAGACGGCAGAGGCACUGGCAAAGGUUUUAAAAGUCCAUGACGAGCAGAUAUACCCAGUGAGUCUAUAGAGAGGGCUACAGUGGGCUACAUGUCUUCCUGCUACGGAGACUGCAGAUGCUAAAGACACAACAGACACAACUGAGAAUGAUAUACCGGAGUUGCCAACAUGGAUCCUGUACUCCACCUCAACCAAGAACAUGCAGAUUAUUGUGGGUCCAACACCCUUGUGGAGCAGGAGGAGGACCAAGAGGAUGAGAAUGAAGAGGACAUUUUGAUACAAUGAUUUUACCAAUUAAGUCUUCUUACUAUUCUGUUUUGUAUAUGUAUGAUCUGCCUGCACCUUCUUCGGCUAUUGUAUGGCACAUCUACCUUUAUCAUAGUCUAAUAACACAGUGUAGUGUCUUGUGUGUUAUCUGCUCAAAUUAUUCUGUGUUUACCCUCGACACUGUGUUUACUGUUCUUGUUCCACAGAGGUCUUGUAUUUAAAAUUAGGCCGGAACCUCAUUGGUUUGAUAGUUUCACCAUACCCAUCCAAAUUUAGUAUGGAGCUGAUGUAAGCAUAGCAAAGGGGACAAAAACACUUACACAUAAUUACACACACACUUGCACACACAUACACACAAUUAGGAGUUCAUAAAUCAUCCGAGUCUAUUUCAUAAACAUUAGGGCAUUGUUCGAUUGUGUCAGCGGUCCCCUUAAAACCCACCACACUGCACAGAUUGUCCGUUUUUUAUUUAUUUAUCACUAUUAUCACCUUUUAACUCUCUGGGGUUUCUCUAACAAAACAACAGGGCACCACAUUUACCAGACCAUCACAAACACAGUUUACCUGUUUCAGCUGAGCUUUCAGGCUUGAGCUGCCCAACGCUUUAAUUAGUUUCACUGUUACCUCAAUUUCUUUCUCUGCUGUAACUUGCUAUGUUGCAAUUGUUACAACUGUUUUAUGGGACGUCACAACUCGAUUGCAUGUCUGCGAAAUGUAGUAACUCACUCAAAACAUUUAAUUCAUGCUUUAAAAUCUAGUUAUUGUGUCAGUAAAAUUGCCAAU